ACAGGUGCUGCAUGGGUGUCGUCACCUCGUGUCGUGAGAUGUUGGGUUAAGUCCCGCAACGAGCGCAACCCUUUUCCUUAUUUACCAGCGGUUUGGCCGGGGACUCUAAGGAUACUGCCAGUGACAAACUGGAGGAAGGCGGGGACGACGUCAAGUCAUCAUGGCCCUUACGACCAGGGCUACACACGUGCUACAAUGGUCGGUACAAAGGGCAGCUACACAGCGAUGUGAUGCGAAUCUCAAAAAGCCUAUCGUACUCCAGAUUGGAGUCUGCAACUCGACUCCAUGAAGUCGGAAUCGCUAGUAAUCGCGGAUCAGAAUGCCCCGGUGAAUACCUUCCCCGGUCUUG
rnacentral:rRNA from 1 species